GGAAUUUUGGGCAAUGGGCGAAAGCCUGACCCAGCAACGCCGCGUGAAGGAUGAAGUUUUUCGGAAUGUAAACUUCGUAAGAAUAGGAAGAAUAAAUGACGGUACUAUUUGUAAGGUCCGGCUAACUACGUGCCAGCAGCCGCGGUAAUACGUAGGGACCAAGCGUUGUUCGGAUUUACUGGGCGUAAAGGACGCGUAGGCGGCCACCGCAAGUCGGUUGUGAAAUCUCCGGGCUUAACCCGGAAAGGUCAACCGAUACUGCGGGGCUAGAGUGCAGAAGGGGCAACUGGAAUUCUCGGUGUAGCGGUGAAAUGCGUAGAUAUCGAGAGGAACACCUGCGGCGAAGGCGGGUUGCUGGGCUGACACUGACGCUGAGGCGCGAAAGCUAGGGGAGCGAAC
rnacentral:rRNA from 1 species